GAUGAACGCUAGCGGCAGGCCUAACACAUGCAAGUCGAGGGGCAUCAUGGCGUAGCAUACGCUGAUGGCGACCGGCGCACGGGUGCGUAACGCGUAUGGAACCUACCCACCGCAGGGGGAUAACCCGCCGAAAGGCGGACUAAUACCCCAUGGUUCCCCGACCCUGCCUGGGGUUGGGGGUAAAGCCUACGGGCGGCGGUGGAUGGCCCUGCGUGCCAUUAGCUGGCUGGUGGGUAACGGCCCACCAGGGCGACGAUGGCUAGGGGGUCUGAGAGGACGAUCCCCCACACUGGUACUGAGACACGGACCAGACUCCUACGGGAGGCAGCAGUGAGGAAUAUUGGUCAAUGGGCGGAAGCCUGAACCAGCCAUGCCGCGUGCAGGAUGACGGCCCUACGGGUUGUAAACUGCUUUUGCCAGGGGAUAAAAAGUCCCUGCGGGGAAAAUUGAAGGUACCUGGUGAAUAAGCCACGGCUAACUACGUG
rnacentral:rRNA from 1 species